GAAUAAUAUGGAUUGGCUUGUCCCUCUAGACAUUUUUUUUCUGCCAGUCAUACCACAGGGGUUAUCAGCCUUAGAUGGUUUUUUUAUGUGAAUCUUUCAGUGUAGGGAUUUCCAGACCACAAAGUUGGUACCAAUUUGAACAGCACAUACAGGAGAAAAGGCCCAUGGUUAGAAUUCUCAGAGUAGUAUUGAUUUUAAAGACAGGUAGACGAUUACCACAUUUUCUUAUCCAUUCAUCCAUUGAUGGACCCUUGGGUAGCUUCCACCUUCUGGCUAUUUUGAACAAUGCUGCUAUGAACAUGGGUGUACAAAUGUCAGCUUGAGUCUCUGCUUUCAUUUCUUGUGGGUUGGGUUUUUGAGAAAUCAUCAUACUGUUUUCCACAGCUGCAUCAUUUUACAUUCCUUCCAGCAGUGUCAAGUAUUCCUUCCAAUUUUGCCAGUGUUUAUUAUUUAUUUGUUUGUUGUGAGACAGAGCCUCACUCUGUAGCCCAGGCUGGAGUCCAGUGGCAUGAUCUCUGCUCACUGCAACCUCCGCCUCCCAGGUUCAAGUGAUUCUCCUGCCUCAGCCUCCCAAGUAGCUGGGAUUACAGGCACCCAACCACCACGGCUGGCUCA
rnacentral:lncRNA from 1 species